rnacentral:rRNA from 1 species
GAUGAACGCUAGCUACAGGCUUAACACAUGCAAGUCGAGGGGAAACGACAUCGAGGGCUUGCUUUUGAUGGGCGUCGACCGGCGCACGGGUGAGUAACGCGUAUCCAACCUGCCCAUCACUUGGGAAUAACCUUGCGAAAGUAAGACUAAUACCCAAUGACAUCCCACGAAGACAUCUGAAUGGGAUUAAAGAUUUAUCGGUGAUGGAUGGGGAUGCGUCUGAUUAGCUUGUUGGCGGGGUAACGGCCCACCAAGGCAACGAUCAGUAGGGGUUCUGAGAGGAAGGUCCCCCACAUUGGAACUGAGACACGGUCCAAACUCCUACGGGAGGCAGCAGUGAGGAAUAUUGGUCAAUGGGCGAGAGCCUGAACCAGCCAAGUAGCGUGCAGGAUGACGGCCCUAUGGGUUGUAAACUGCUUUUAUAAGGGAAUAAAGUGGGUCUCGUGAGACUUUUUGCAUGUACCUUAUGAAUAAGGACCGGCUAAUUCCGUG